UUCGUCUUUCUUAUUAUUGGUAUGUCCAGAGUCAUAUCUGUGUAUAUAUGUAUCUCGUAUGUCCAUCGUAAGGUCUCAGUGGCAUUUUUUUUAAUUGUUUAUUUUUUCGCCAUUCAUCUGGGUACAGUCAUAGUGGGGGUUCCUUCCAAAAUCUAUUGCGUCUGAAAUUAUCGUGUACAUGCUAAUAAUUUAACAUUUAUUACGCGAUAUGCCUAACGGCAAAGCGACAUCUAUUGGUGGGGUGUUCGUUUAGGGGAGUUAUCUUUUCUUAUCUUCUGG
rnacentral:lncRNA from 1 species